AUACUUACCUGGCAUGGGCGAUACCAUGAUCACAAAGGUGAUUUCCCCAGGCUCACCCAUUGCACUCCGGGUGUGCUGACCUCUGCAACUUCCCCAAAUGUGGGAAACUCGACUGCAUAAUUUAUGGUAGUGGGGGACUGUGUUCGCGCUCUCCCCUG